CGGCGGAGCAUGCGGUAUUAAUUCGAUGACAACGCGAAGAACCUUACCAAGGCUUGACAUACACCGGUAACGCCCAGAGAUGGGUGCCCCUUUGUGGUCGGUGUACAGGUGGUGCAUGGUUGUCGUCAGCUCGUGUCGUGAGAUGUUGGGUUAAGUCCCGCAACGAGCGCAACCCUCGUCCUAUGUUGCCAGCGGGUCAUGCCGGGGACUCAUGGGAGACUGCCGGGGUCAACUCGGAGGAAGUGGGGAUGACGUCAAAUCAUCAUGCCCCUUAUGUCUUGGGCUUCACGCAUGCUACAAUGGCCGGUACAAAGGGCUGCGAUACCGCGAGGUGGAGCGAAUCCCAGAAAGCCGGUCUCAGUUCGGAUUGGGGUCUGCAACUCGACCCCAUGAAGUCGGAGUCGCUAGUAAUCGCAGAUCGGCAACGCUGCGGUGAAUACGUUCCCGGGCCUU
rnacentral:rRNA from 1 species